AUUCUUUUGCAUUAAGAUGGUCACAAGGUAAAGCCCUGUGGCAGAACCUGGUACUUUACCUUACCAGAGGAAAUUACCUUAGAAUAAGAUGGAGACCCCAGCUCCCUUUAAAGACAAGACCUUGAAAUCAAAUGGAGUCAGCUAUACCUAUCACAAUUCUUGGAUAUAAGAAGCCCAUAGACUCUCUUGUUUACACUGUAGGCUUUUUCUUAAUAGGGUUGCAUUUGUCAUUGCAUUUACCCUUCUUGGCCUGGAAGUAGAGGAGAUCAAUUUCAGUGCGUAUCUUUGACCACUUCCAGCCACAGGGUACUAACAUCAGACAUAAGUUGCAACCAGGUCACAUUUUAGGCUGAGAUGGGGCUAGCUGAAAGUCAGUGUGAUGAAAACCCAAGGGCGCUAUUCCACAUGUCUCAAAUGAUUGGCAGGGGCUAACUUAUUAGUAAUUCUCGGUUUUGUGCACUGAGAUAUCUAAGACCUAUGGCAUUUUUUUCCCAUUUAUAAAGCUCCUAUAAUUCUUAAGUAAGUACUAGGUGAAUGUUUGAAUAGAUGCUGGAGAAAUUACACUGGAAAACCCCACCCCUAGAUUUAGAUAAGAUCAAUCAUUUAAUACUCCCCAAAUUAAUUCAGGUUGAAUUAAGCAUGUAAUAUAAAUUCAGUGAAUUACAAAAACACAACAUUUUGUGUAGGAUUGAUCAGAUUUUAAAUACAGUGAAACUUCAUUAUAUAUAAUAGAUCUAGACCCUCCCAAGCAUUUUCCCAUCCCAUAAAGAAUUAAUGAAAUGAAAUGCUUAUAGAGCAACGAUUCCUGCUCAGAAAAAUUUCCUUAUAAACAAACAGCUCCAAACCAGGGGUGCCUGAGCUAGAUUUUAAAGUUAUAAAGAAAGAAGUUUCAUUGUAUUUUUAAAACCUUUUUAAUGGGUGUAUUUGGACAAAAAUAACCCCCUUUUCACAUUUUAUGAUGUGCAGGUAUUACAUUGCUUUUUACAUGUGGAAAAGUGAGCCUGCAUUUAUUUUUAAAUGCAGUUAUUAAAACAUUUUUGUAUUCCCCAUCAAUGAAAAUUUUCAGUGUGAACAAAUGGUCAAUCAUAAGACAGUUCAGUGCUUAUUUUCUGUAGGUUUUAGCAAAAAAAUUUAUAAACCACAAAAUAUUUAUACAUCAGGAUGGUAAAUUUACAUAAAGAUUGCAGAUUUAAUAUUUUCCAUUGUCUCUGUUCUGAGUGCCAUGCUUGUAACAUUGAUAGGAGGUGGACACUAGGCAACUGGUAUUAGAAGUUCAUUUUUUUACUGAAAAAUUCAGGUACAUUAGCCAUUUGUUAUUUUAUAGUGAACCGUUUCAAUGUUUAUUGUUAUUUGUUGGCAAAAUAAAAGUGCCUUAAGUUAAAAGUUUGUUUUGAGAUCCAUUAAAGAAAUCAGUAUCAUCAGUUCAUAAUGCAUUUAUUUACAAGUCCUUUUAUUUUGCAUGUUCAUUGUAAAUUUAAUACUGUAAAUGUAUUCAAAUUCAUUUACAUGCCUAUGGCUGCCUUUGAUUAAAC
rnacentral:lncRNA from 1 species